rnacentral:tmRNA from 1 species
GGGGGUGUUCCGGAUUCGACCGGCGCUGGACUUGGGUUGAUUGCAUGCCGAGGAUGACCGUUGGCCUCGUAAAUCACCGGUUAAAACAAUAACUGCGAACGAAGAGUUUGCUCUGGCGGCAUAAUCCCGCCACGUCGCUGUGCCUGAUUGGGUACUAAGGUAUAAGCGGCGCGUGUUAAUACCCUGGCUGAAAUUCCCGGCAUUCGGAGUUUCGGCGAGAUCAAAGAAUGUCUGUUCUGAGGGAUCGCCUGUCCAUUGGCGAAACAGAGGACGAAAAACAAUUGAAGAUGGAACAAGCAUGUAGAGAUCUUCACAGCUCCCCGUUGGGACGCGGGUUCAACUCCCGCCACCUCCACCA